ACACAACCUUAAAUAGGUUUUGGUGUAGAUGAAAUCACUUUCAAUAACUCUCAGACACAGAAUUUAAUGCUAAAAGAUUGAAAGAGUAGAUCUACCACUCAAGCUCAAAAGUAUUUGAAUGAAACCUUUAAAAAUAGUACAAUAAAUUCUCAAUGAAUAUGAAUACUUUUAUUAGGUAAAAUUAUAGUAAAUAAUGUCUUUUAUAGGUUCUUUUCAUUACAAAAAACGUCUACUAGAGAGUGUAUCUAACGGCUCUUUAAUUUUCAAA
rnacentral:misc_RNA from 1 species